rnacentral:rRNA from 1 species
AGAACGAACGCUGGCGGCAGGCCUAACACAUGCAAGUCGAACGCCGUAGCAAUACGGAGUGGCAGACGGGUGCGUAACGCGUGGGAACAUACCCUUUGGUUCGGAAUAACUCAGGGAAACUUGAGCUAAUACCGGAUAAGCCCUUACGGGGAAAGAUUUAUCGCCGAAGGAUUGGCCCGCGUCUGAUUAGCUUGUUGGUGAGGUAAUGGCUCACCAAGGCGACGAUCAGUAGCUGGUCUGAGAGGAUGAUCAGCCACACUGGGACUGAGACACGGCCCAGACUCCUACGGGAGGCAGCAGUGGGGAAUAUUGGACAAUGGGCGAAAGCCUGAUCCAGCCAUGCCGCGUGAGUGAUGAAGGCCUUAGGGUUGUAAAGCUCUUUUACCCGGGAAGAUAAUGACUGUACCGGGAGAAUAAGCCCGGCUAACUUCGCGCCAGCAGCCGC